AUUGAACGCUGGCGGCAGGCCUAACACAUGCAAGUCGAGCGGUAGCACAGAGAGCUUGCUCUCGGGUGACGAGCGGCGGACGGGUGAGUAAUGUCUGGGAAACUGCCUGAUGGAGGGGGAUAACUACUGGAAACGGUAGCUAAUACCGCAUAACGUCGCAAGACCAAAGUGGGGGACCUUCGGGCCUCAUGCCAUCAGAUGUGCCCAGAUGGGAUUAGCUAGUAGGUGGGGUAAUGGCUCACCUAGGCGACGAUCCCUAGCUGGUCCGAGAGGAUGACCAGCCACACUGGAACUGAGACACGGUCCAGACUCCUACGGGAGGCAGCAGUGGGGAAUAUUGCACAAUGGGCGCAAGCCUGAUGCAGCCAUGCCGCGUGUGUGAAGAAGGCCUUCGGGUUGUAAAGCACUUUCAGCGGGGAGGAAGGCGGUGAGGUUAAUAACCUCAUCGAUUGACGUUACCCGCAGAAGAAGCACCGGCUAACUCCGUGCCAGCAGCCGCGGUAAUACGGAGGGUGCAAGCGUUAAUCGGAAUUACUGGGCGUAAAGCGCACGCAGGCGGUCUGUCAAGUCGGAUGUGAAAUCCCCGGGCUCAACCUGGGAACCGCAUUCGAAACUGGCAGGCUAGAGUCUUGUAGAGGGGGGUAGAAUUCCAGGUGUAGCGGUGAAAUGCGUGGAGAUCUGGAGGAAUACCGGUGGCGAAGGCGGCCCCCUGGACAAAGACUGACGCUCAGGUGCGAAAGCGUGGGGAGCAAACAGGAUUAGACACCCUGGUAGUCCACGCCGUAAACGAUGUCGACUUGGAGGUUGUGCCCUUGAGGCGUGGCUUCCGGAGCUAACGCGUUAAAUCGACCGCCUGGGGAGUACGGCCGCAAGGUUAAAACUCAAAUGAAUUGACGGGGGCCCGCACAAGCGGUGGAGCAUGUGGUUUAAUUCGAUGCAACGCGAAGAACCUUACCUGGUCUUGACAUCCACAGAACUUUCCAGAGAUGGAUUGGUGCCUUCGGGAACUGUGAGACAGGUGCUGCAUGGCUGUCGUCAGCUCGUGUUGUGAAAUGUUGGGUUAAGUCCCGCAACGAGCGCAACCCUUAUCCUUUGUUGCCAGCGGUCCGGCCGGGAACUCAAAGGAGACUGCCAGUGAUAAACUGGAGGAAGGUGGGGAUGACGUCAAGUCAUCAUGGCCCUUACGACCAGGGCUACACACGUGCUACAAUGGCAUAUACAAAGAGAAGCGACCUCGCGAGAGCAAGCGGACCUCAUAAAGUAUGUCGUAGUCCGGAUUGGAGUCUGCAACUCGACUCCAUGAAGUCGGAAUCGCUAGUAAUCGUAGAUCAGAAUGCUACGGUGAAUACGUUCCCGGGCCU
rnacentral:rRNA from 1 species